rnacentral:lncRNA from 1 species
GGUAAAAGAUAGUCUGCUUCCUAAGUUUUAAUACACAACUCUUCUUCUAUUGCUUUAGCCUUGUGGCUCCGGGAAGGAAAGUAGGUGGGGCAAGGGAAGAAAAAUGCAGCCCAACACAUUUGAAAUUUUGGCAGGUGGAAGAGGGAUUGUAAACCCCAAGAUUGAAAAUACAGGCAAAUGGUGAAGCCAAGGGAAACACAACUGAGACUAGCUGGAGCUUCUCAGGUAUGGACCACAAAGGCCUCAGGAGGUAGUACAGGGUGGGAAGUGUUCAAACCGGGGUUGAGGGGAGCCUUGAAGAAAUAGGACUGCCAGGGGGUCCCAGCACUGGAGUGGGUCCAAGGAUGAGGUCUCAUUUAAGAACAUUUCCAGCUGAUUCUACGAUUGCUAUAAUUAGCACUACCUUUCCAUGGGACUAGAGGGGGCCAGCAGUUGAACUAGCAGAGUGAUGGCAAAUGCUUUAAAAAUCAAUUGAUGUAGGGAAAGUGGGGCGAAUAGAAGUCCUUUACAUCUCUUCCAACUCUAAGGUUCCAAUUUUGUGAUUCCAGGUUCUGAAACAGUCAGCUACUGGGGAAGCUAUACAACUGAUGUGAUGCAGAUUGACUCUCUGUCUUGAGACACCUGGUGCGUGUGUGUGUGUGUGUACAUGUGCAGUGGGGAGUAGAAAUGAGAGCAGGGCAAGACCAACAUGUCCAAAAAGGCCAAGGGCCAGAGCUUGCUCACACACACAUGCACAUAUACAUCACACACACAGCGGAGGUCCAGAGUUAGGCUUUGGGCCUGUGGCAGAGAUCAAGACGCAAAGAUCUUGAGGCAUAAGCAAUUAGGAGCACAGUUGCCUCCACCUCCUUUCCCAAAGCCAGUGCAGUGCUUUCCCUUUAAAAUGCGGAGGACCACAGCAACCUACCUCAGCCCCUCUGCCGAUCUGCCAAAGCACAGGAGCUUUGGGACAGAGGACAGGCUGAGCAGAGAAGCUACUGCCAACAUGACUCAGAAGGCCAGGGGGCCAAAGUGCCUCCCCUCCAGCCACCUCUGCAAGCUCUGUAACUGUGGGAGACACAGACCCCACUGCAGCUGCACCACGCCCUGGGGUAGGGUCCCCUCCCACCUGGAGAUCUGCCCAUCUAUCUGGAAGUCCACCACUGACCAUCUUCAGAGUAAGCCACCCCUCCCCAACCAGCACUACUUUCAAGACAAAAAAAAAAAAUCUGAAAUGCUCAUUAGCACCAACUGUUCCAAAAUGGCAUAUGCCCUUAAAUGCAGAGAAGGCCCUCCCCGCAUUCCUACUGCUCCAGUCUCACCUAAAAUUGGGUCUUGUAUGGACACCAUCACCAGCGCCCCGCCUCUCCCCUUAGUUGGGGUAAGGAGUAACAGCAGGCUGCCAUGAGGCAGGUCAGGAAGAAGUGCUGGACUAGGCCAACGACUGCUACUUCUCCCCUCCCUAGACCCCUUCUCUCCUGGAAGCAGACCCUGCCCACUUGACUACCCCUCUCCAAGCAGCACAGCCCUCAAUCCCGCCUGGCAAGGGAGGCUGGCUCUCCAAAAGCAGCCAGAGAACAGUGAGCCUGGAGUUCAGGUAAGGUCAGGAGUGAAAUGAGAGCCUGGGAUAAGCACCACUGAGGCAACAGCCAUGCUCUCACGCUAUCCUAAUACUCUAAGGGAAGACACUAUUUAUUAAGCACCUAUUAUGUGCCAGGCACUAUACUAGAUACUUUAUUUAAGAUCCUCUCAAAACCUUAAGAAGGGAUGUAUUCUCCUGAUUUUACAAAUAAGGAAAUGGUGGCUCAGAGAAGUUAGGUAACUUGCUAGAAGGGAGCGCCUGCCUGAGUUUUUGAUGACAUCAGACUCGGGGAAACUGACCCCCACUGACUUUCCCAUUAAUGAGGGGAAGAUAAGAAUGACUUCUCUGGAC